AUUGAACGCUGGCGGCAUGCCUUACACAUGCAAGUCGAACGGCAGCACGGGAGCAAUCCUGGUGGCGAGUGGCGAACGGGUGAGUAAUACAUCGGAACGUGCCCAGUUGUGGGGGAUAGCCCGGCGAAAGCCGGAUUAAUACCGCAUACGACCUGAGGGUGAAAGCGGGGGAUCGCAAGACCUCGCGCAAUUGGAGCGGCCGAUGUCAGAUUAGCUAGUUGGCGGGGUAAGAGCCCACCAAGGCGACGAUCUGUAGCUGGUCUGAGAGGACGACCAGCCACACUGGGACUGAGACACGGCCCAGACUCCUACGGGAGGCAGCAGUGGGGAAUUUUGGACAAUGGGCGCAAGCCUGAUCCAGCCAUGCCGCGUGUGGGAAGAAGGCCUUCGGGUUGUAAACCACUUUUGUCAGGGAAGAAACGGCCUUUUUUAAUACAAAGGGCUAAUGACGGUA
rnacentral:rRNA from 1 species